rnacentral:rRNA from 1 species
AGAAUCAACGCUGGCGGCGUGCCUAACACAUGCAAGUCGAACGAGAAAGUGGAGCAAUCCAUGAGUAAAGUGGCGCACGGGUGAGUAACACGUGACUAACCUACCCUUGAGUGGGGGAUAACCUAGAGAAAUCUGGGCUAAUACCGCAUAAUACCUUCGGGUACAAGGAGCAAUUCGCUUAAGGAGGGGGUCGCGGCCGAUUAGUUAGUUGGCGGGGUAAUGGCCUACCAAGACUAUGAUCGGUA